GUGUACAGGGCUCCUCCUGUUUUGAACCAGCUGGCGCAACUGGACUCCCCCAGCGGUGGUGUGGAAGUCAGUGAAGUGCCAUCCGCCCUGGAAGAGCCAGAUAGUAAUCCAGAGGAUGCUUUGACUUUCGGUGGUGAUGGUGCUGACAGCUGCCCUGCCGUGGACACCGAGGACACUGCUAUCGAAGUGCCCCCUGAGGAUGUACUUGAGGCGUUCGCUUCAAUUGUGUGCCAGCAGGCGGGCACACUUCGAGAUGCCUGUAUUCAGGUGAAUCCUCAACCACAAAUUGGGCGGCUGAAGCCACUGCUGUCAUACAGGCUUGUUGACGAGGAAAACAAAAUUCGGACUCUCACAGGCAUAGGAUGUCUACAGCUUAUGCACAAUAUAAUUGCUGAAUUUACUGCCCUGCGAAGUGUUUGUGCACCGAGAGGCUUUGCCUUAAGUGAUGAAGAUGUUGUGUUAAUGGUUUUUGUCAAGCUUUAUCAUAACAUUAAUUUCAGUUUUCUGGCGAUUCUGUUCUCUGUGCAUCGAACAACGGCAGCCAGUAUUGUGAAGAGUGCCAUUUGCAUGCUUGCACGUGUACUCGCAGAAGGUGUUUUUUUUCCGUCAAAAGAGUCUGUUCUUGAGAACCUGACUGUUAUUUUAAACGGUAUAGAAAUACACGUGUUGUGCUCGACUGCACAGAGAUUGGAAUUGAAAGACCACGGGAUCUGGCAUCCCGCUUGCUGACGUACAGCCACUACAAGAAAACAUACACUGUCAAGGUCCUGAUUGGUUGUGCACCAAGUGGGAUGAUAACAGUGGUAGGCGCUGGGUAUGGGGGAAGAGCAUCUGAUUCCCAACUCACUGCCCGCUCUGAUGUUUUGGACCUGUGCAUGCCUUAUGUUGACCAUGUGAUGGUUGAUAAAGGAUUUUUGAUUGAAAAGCUUUGUGAAAAUGCAAGGGUAACGAUGGAUCGACCCCCAUUUCUGAAGAAACGGCAGCAGAUGGAGGAGCACGAGUCCCUUCGUAACCAGGCUAUUGCCAGGGCACGAGUCCAUGUGGAAAGGGUUAUCCAACGUUUAAAAUUGUAUAAAGUCUUGCAGCAGAAAUUUCCCCUGCAACUUCUGCCUGUCUUUGACAAAGUGGUGUUGCUACUAGCUGGUGUGGUGAACCUGUCAAGGCCUAUCUUGGCCGAAGACAAGUUCUUACCAAAUUCUUAAUUCUGAGGCCUCUGAAAUUAUUGAGUUUAAAGACUUCAUCCCUGCAGAUUCAGAAAAUGUUAUCACUCCUUGAUUCACAAGUGGUUCUUUUUUAUUUUUUUUUGCACUAGUGCACUGCGUAUGUUUUGCACAGUGAUGUUUUAUGUGGGCAGCGGCAGAGCAUCUAACUGUAUAUGUACAGUAUUCAUGAGUUCAGACAAGACAUCAAAUUUUCUGGUAUUGGGUGCAAAGAGUUACGGAGUCGCGCUCUACUGGGUGCACCUCGCGUGCUUGGUAGGAUAACACCGACGAGCUCUCCAUAUGUUUCACUGUCAGCGCUCUAAGUAAACACCAUGCGGAUGCUCUCCCGUUUAUGUCUGUGAAUACUUUCGAAAUGGGGGAAGUUUGCACAGUAGAAGCAUAGUCCCUCAAUACUUUUUCUGGUCACGAAACUGCCGCCUCAGUUUAAUAUAGAGCCAGCGCCGGCCGCUAGGAGUGCUACAGUACAGGCCAUCUCGCCGAGCGGCCGCCGCAGGCGACGCUUGCUUUUUUUUUUUUUUUUUUCUCGGGUUCAUCGCUGCCGAAAGUCCCACUCCUUCUACAGAUUACUUAAAUUCUAUUUUCUUCUAUGAAUUAUACUAACUAAACUUGAACUUCUCAUAAUGUUUUCUUACUGAAGACAAGACGCAUAAAAGGUUAACAAUCUCAGUCAGCUGGCGGCUAAGUGUGCCAGCAGACGACGUGCACGGACUUUUUCCUGCUGUGAAGUCUCUCUUUAGAUUGCACGCAAAUCGUUCCAGCAGUGGUGACGGGCUCUAAUUUUACGCAACAAGAAGCUUUCCUGAAAGUGAGCUUGCACUUGAGCGUAGUAUCUGUUUGGAACAGGCACAUUGACAGAUUGUAGCCAUCAAUGAAACGCUUACUUGACCAAGCUUUCGUGCACAUCAUUCCAAGUGUGCGACAAAGUUUCCUCACGUGAUUGUUGUUGUCAAUAUUCCCUAUGAAAACCUCGCGAAUUAAUAUGCCCCCCCCCCCCCUCCCUGUCUCAGCACUUCGCUCGGUGACAAGGAUCAGCGCGUGAAUGCGCUCAGUAGCUACCAUGUUUUUUUGGUGAACCAAGAAGCAUAAUAGGAUUGUAAUCACGGGAUUUUUUAAGGAAAUGAAGUCGUGCAAAUGCUUGAGAAACAACAUCCAAUUUUCGCCUUCGCUCAGCAACGGGGUAGUGUAAAGUGCUCCAGCAAUGUUAAAGGAGUAUUGAUACAGCAGUCUCGUAUCUUUUUUUUUUUUUUGCUGUAAGUUACUAAUGGCCCAUUUAUCACGGCUGGAAGUCUACUUUGCUCAGAAAAUGAAAUUACUUCUGUGGCAUGGCAUUUUCGUAAGCAGCACAGCGCUGCAUUAGCAAAUUUAAGGAGAUGUAAAAUUUUCAAAAACUGUUGCUGUCAGCACGCAAGAUGCAUAUGCAGAGACUCCAACUAAGUGAUUAUGCAAAUAAUUUGCAGUCUGUAAAUACUGACACACAGACAGUGCAGAAAAGGUUACAGAACAAAAAUAUUUUAUUGCUCCAACAUGAAAGCUAGUUUUUGUCUGUGCUUGAGUUUUGUUGGUACUGAUAGGCGGUGAUUUUAAUGCAAUAUUCAAGAAACAACAAAUUAUGUAUGUAUACUACAGGUUACUGAGAAUUCCAACAAUAAAAAACUACGCAAGUACAGAUCCUAGCUGGUAAGGGCGACAAGUGCCGACUGCUUCGGACAAGCAGACUUUUGGCUUCCGCUAGCGGGGCAGGUUGUUCGCACGCGCUUAUUCUUUUCUCUAGUAAAGAAAUGCAGGCAAGUCCUAAGAAGAAGAAAAAAAACAAUGACCUCAGCAGUGAUGCGGCGGUCGAACAGCGGCGCUCUGUGGUCGUGGCAUCGGCUUGGUUAAAUAGCCUGGCAGGCCGUCGAAAACACGAUGAAUGGCGUUAGGCCUGAGGCGUGGCUUGUCCCCCGGUAACAAUACGGCGUCACCGUUUAUCAAGAAAUUGUCUGUACGGAUGAUAUUCGACGAGUCAAAGUGCCUCGCGCACACACACACACGCUUCGAAUUGAAGCUGAAGGUCCGUCUCUUGUCGCGGUAUGGCUCGCUUCCAGUUCUUGAACAGCUCGCGAACACUUGGCAUGCAAAACAGCAAUACCUUUUCGCUGUUGCCCUUGUAGCCGGAACGGCACCCCGGUACACAGCACCUGGACGGCAUCGUGCCGUUUCAAGUGAACAAUACUAGAAACCGGCUCUCAUCUGAAAAGCAGACACACACGAAGCACACGUCCAAACUUUCCACUCGAGCCAGCCGCAAGUGCGGUCUCUCCGGUAUCAAACCGAAGAAGCGUGGCCUAUGAGCUGCAGUGGCGCCGCGGCGUGGCGUCUUUGUGCGACAUAUGAAGCUCCCCCAUAGCGUGACAGCGAAGUUUCGUGACCAGAAAAGUAUUGAGAGACUAUGGUAGAAGUAAUAACCUUGGAUAAAAAGAAAGCACAAUUCUUUACCGGUGCUUUCUGUUUUCAGAAAAUGUACAGUGACUGCUCAUUGUGCGCUCACCGUGCAUUCACCUAUAUCCCUAAACAAGCUUCUUGCAUGAAAGGCAGGCAAUUCGUGAAGGCUAACUACAUGGCAUAAACUCUUACAUUGGUCUGUCUGUAUAAAUACAUAAUGCUUACCAGAAUGUGCCCUCAAUUAAGUGAUCACGCAACCGCAGCAUAGAUGAGCAUUCCUUACUACACACGAAGAGCAGUUGUUGCAUGGACGUUACCGAAGCUUCUAGAAAAUUAUAUCUUGCGCAUUUUAAAAAAAUUGACACCUAUGGCAACUUCAGCUAGAUUCUCUUUUUUCCAUCUAUGUUCUUGGACGUUUCAUUAUCAUUAUUACUCAAGUGGUGUUGCAAUUUCCAUGAAUUUUUUCAAGCUAUUACAUUUGUUGGUUGGGGCUCAGGCAAACAUGAGUAUAUGCUGUGUCUUCUUUGCUAACAUGACUCCUGCCACUCCCUUUGUAUUCCAGUGACCCUGCCAAUAAUGUCAAAACGUACACAUACCAAAGGUUAAAGGAGCACUGACAUCAAAUUUACACGUCAAGAUUUUUGCAUGCGUGAGCAGUUAUCGACCCCCUAGUAGCGAUACCCAAAAAUGCAACUGAGAGAUGAAUAACCAUCUUUUUUAUUGAUUUAUAUCACCGGUAUCUAGCACGAUUCAAAAGGGCCGGCAAGCCCGCUAUUUCUCAGCGCUGGCAGCACUUCCUCGCGGUGACCUCCAGACUGCGCCAAGCUGACCGCUUGUCCGCAGAAAGGAAUGACGACAGGCUCAGCUGAUCAGCUAACAUUUCGUCUGCGCACACAUUCAGUCAUGCCUUGUCAUCAGCGUUUCCGUCAGAACUGUCAGCUAGUUUUGAAGACGACAUUCUGGAACUUUGAAUCGCCACGAUUCGCGAUAUCGCGAAUCAUUUUCGCUUUGACCCUUUACAAAAACAGCAAUUCAAAAAUGGUCGCCGUUACAAGCAGAGGAGGUGCCUGGGGACGCACGCUUGGGCAAUGCUCGCUGGUGCGUCUCAGUUAGCUAUAGUAGAGAAUUUUAGAGUGCACGGCAUUCCGGUUUACGCAAAGGGAUCUAUGCAAUAUACCAGCGGAGAAAUAGAAUGCGUUAGGUUCUUCUUUGCGCCGCUAGACGGCCCCACCUAUACAGCCUCUCACGCUUACAGUUGCAGUAACCCGGUAAGCGCAGAGAAGUUUGCGUGUUACUUGUUAACAAUGGUAUUCAUCAAUACGCUGCUCCACUUUGAUAGCUUGUGGUCGUGUUGGCGCGUACCAUACGUGUAAUGAAACGACUCACUAUUUCCACUUUCUCUGCGCGUCCAACAACACAACUGCAGCUCACAACGAUUCCCCAACAUGCUGACUGACAAGCACAUGUCAAAUCAUACUCUUGUCUUUAGCCUGUCUUUCCUUGGUGGUUUGCGUCUGGUAAUUUCAUGAAAUCAAUUUAAGCGUUGCGGCAAAGAACGUGAGUGAGAGCGUUUGCAGGCAUCGGCGCAAGUAGGCACUACGAUAAAAACACCCAGGUCGUCGAUGUCAUCGCUACGAGCGCAUCGUCACUCGGUGGUAUGCACGUUAUGUACCACCCUGAACAUGUCGCAAAGUGUCGAUGUUGCAGGGUGCUGAAAGCCCUUUUGAGCUUUCGUAUGCCCUUUGCCCUCGAAAUAAAAUAACUUCCAGGUGACGGACGUCAUUCAAAGUUGGUCAGAUAUACUUAUGCAUACCGAAGAAUCGAAUGAAGGACACAUCUCGAGAUUGAAAUUUUGUGUCAGUGCCCCUUUAAGACUAGGUUUUACGACUGCUGUUAGAAGCAGUUUAUGAAGCGAAAUGCAAAGAUGAACAGCUACUACAUAAUAUUCAGUGGACUAGUCCUCCAAACAUAAGGAUUUGCAUGAGCUAGGACUCUCGGUGAAAGAGAGAAGUCAUCGCAGCUAGUAGCUGCAAAGCAGGGUAUAAAAAGGGUUUAGAGAGUGCAAAGAGUCGCUGGACGACAAUGCACUCAUAGUUGUUUGCAUGAACCACAUGCAACUGACAACAAAUGACAGUUGGUGCUAGUAUUUCGCGACCUGCUGUCCUCCGUGACGUCAGACUUGUGUUGACACAUCACUGUGAAGCCACCCCCUCGAUACAGAAACCAGAAGUGCUUUUGAAAAUCGCAUUAUUAACAAUAUAUUCAAUGCAUUCUGAAGCACUAUGACACUGCUUCUAGGUUUCUCGACAUUCAUGUUUUUAUUUAGAGCAACAAGAUGAAAAUAUUUAAAUUUCAUGUCGAUACUCCUUGAAGUUUUGGUUUGCAGUAUUUUUGUAAGUUCUGCAGCAAUUUUCGUGGCAAAACAGUGUUUAUAUUGCUAAAAGCAUAGCAACUUUGCUGCUAGAACACAUACGGCUUCGUAGGAAAAGUUAGGAUGAGCCAAAUUUAAUUUGGGGGGACGAUAUGGAGGUGAGCAGAGACGUUUGUUUUUGUUGCUGUCCCCUUCUUUCCGUUGAAAGGUCUCCUUGGAGAGUGCUCACAAGGAUCUUGGCAGCCAAUACAAACUCAUGAUGCUGGUGGCAGUUGGUUGUUUACACGGAAUCCAAAGGCGGCGCAAGCGUGCAGUGGCACAACACGUAUACGCAUUAUAAAAUUGAUCUAAGAAAUGCUCUAGGCUAUAUUAUCCAUUGAUAUCUCCUAGAUGAUGCGUGUGUAUCCUCUCAAAUCUAUCCCACAGGUUAUCUCGUCUUCGAAAUUUUGUGUCAGUGCUCCUUUAAAUACACAUCUGGGUAAGAAUGCUGAACUCUGAGCUAUUCAACAUGCAUAUUACAUCAAGGACACUUCCGUUUUGUGGAAUUGAAUUCUUGUGCAAGUGUGUCGGGGCAAAGGAAGGGGGGGUGAGAAUCAAGAGACUUGGCAAGAAUUUUUCGAUUGUGAAAAAUAACAAAAACCUAUCUUGGAGCCUCUGGCUUUUAAUGACAGAACACUGUUUACGUUUACAUACUCAUAUGCUUGUCUUACUUGAAAAGAGAACAGAAUUUUCAUUUUAUUGUGUACCCUGUUUAUCAGAAAAAGCAGCUGUCAUAGUGCCAGAGCAGAUUCCCUACGCCUUGUUUUCUUUCUCUACUUGCACUCACAUGUACGAUUCAGGUGCUACAUUAAUUUUCAUUUGUGUAUAUCUUGUUGUUACGAGUUCACUUAUAACUUGCUUACUGUGAUUUUUUUUUCGCUCUAUUUCCUUGUGCAGAGUUUGUAAAAGUGUAUUGAGUGUUUGCUUUAAUAAAGCCUUAUGUUUGCUAAUUUUGACUUGUUACUGUUAAUGAAGAUUCCUCAGACCCUUGUCCACAACUUGUGCCUCUGCCUGCUGCAUUUUUGUAUUAUUUUUGAAGAAAUUGAUGCCUAAUAAAUGAAAGUUUCGUAAAU